AGAGUUUGAUCCUGGCUCAGGACGAACGCUGGCGGCGCGCCUAACACAUGCAAGUCGAACGAGAGAUGAAGAGCUUGCUCUUCAAAUCGAGUGGCGAACGGGUGAGUAACGCGUGAGGAACCUGCCUCAAAGAGGGGGACAACAGUUGGAAACGACUGCUAAUACCGCAUAAGCCCACGGCUCGGCAUCGAGCAGAGGGAAAAGGAGCAAUCCGCUUUGAGAUGGCCUCGCGUCCGAUUAGCUAGUUGGUGAGGUAACGGCCCACCAAGGCGACGAUCGGUAGCCGGACUGAGAGGUUGAACGGCCACAUUGGGACUGAGACACGGCCCAGACUCCUACGGGAGGCAGCAGUGGGGAAUAUUGCACAAUGGGGGAAACCCUGAUGCAGCGACGCCGCGUGGAGGAAGAAGGUCUUCGGAUUGUAAACUCCUGUUGUUGAGGAAGAUAAUGACGGUACUCAACAAGGAAGUGACGGCUAACUACGUGCCAGCAGCCGCGGUAAAACGUAGGUCACAAGCGUUGUCCGGAAUUACUGGGUGUAAAGGGAGCGCAGGCGGGAGAACAAGUUGGAAGUGAAAUCCAUGGGCUCAACCCAUGAACUGCUUUCAAAACUGUUUUUCUUGAGUAGUGCAGAGGUAGGCGGAAUUCCCGGUGUAGCGGUGGAAUGCGUAGAUAUCGGGAGGAACACCAGUGGCGAAGGCGGCCUACUGGGCACCAACUGACGCUGAGGCUCGAAAGUGUGGGUAGCAAACAGGAUUAGAUACCCUGGUAGUCCACACCGUAAACGAUGAUUACUAGGUGUUGGAGGAUUGACCCCUUCAGUGCCGCAGUUAACACAAUAAGUAAUCCACCUGGGGAGUACGACCGCAAGGUUGAAACUCAAAGGAAUUGACGGGGGCCCGCAC
rnacentral:rRNA from 2 species